UAAGGAAUAUUGGUCAAUGGGCGCAAGCCUGAACCAGCCAUGCCGCGUGCAGGAAGACUGCCCUAUGGGUUGUAAACUGCUUUUGUCGGGGAAUAAACCUCUUUACGAGUAAAGAGCUGAAUGUACUCGAAGAAUAAGGAUCGGCUAACUCCGUGCCAGCAGCCGCGGUAAUACGGAGGAUCCAAGCGUUAUCCGGAUUUAUUGGGUUUAAAGGGUGCGUAGGCGGCUUAUUAAGUCAGGGGUGAAAGACGGUGGCUCAACCAUCGCAGUGCCUUUGAUACUGAUGAGCUUGAAUGAACCUGAGGUAGGCGGAAUGUGACAAGUAGCGGUGAAAUGCAUAGAUAUGUCACAGAACACCAAUUGCGAAGGCAGCUUACUAAAGUUUAAUUGACGCUGAGGCACGAAAGCGUGGGGAUCAAACAG
rnacentral:rRNA from 1 species